rnacentral:misc_RNA from 1 species
GAUGAAGAACGUAGCGAAAUGCGAUAAGUAAUGUGAAUUGCAGAAUUCAGUGAAUCAUCGAAUCUUUGAACGCACAUUGCGCCCGCCAGUAUUCUGGCGGGCAUGCCUGUUCGAGCGUCAUUUCAACCAUCAAGCCCCAGGCUUGUGUUGGGGACCUGCGGCUGCCGCAGGCCCUGAAAACCAGUGGCGGGCUCGCUGUCACACCGGGCGUAGUAGAUUUUAUCUCGCUCAGGGCGUGCUGCGGGUUCCGGCCGUUAAAAAGCCUAUUUUACCCAAGGUUGACCUCGGAUCAGGUAGGAAGACCCGCUGAACUUAAGCAUAUCAAUGAGCGGAGGA